rnacentral:rRNA from 1 species
UACAGAGGGGGCGAGCGUUGUUCGGAAUUACUGGGCGUAAAGGGCGCGUAGGCGGUCCUGAUCGUCGGAUGUGAAAGGCCUGGGCUCAACCUGGGAACUGCAUCCGAUACGGCGGGACUGGAGUGUGGGAGAGGUUGGUGGAAUUCCCAGUGUAGAGGUGAAAUUCGUAGAUAUUGGGAAGAACACCGGUGGCGAAGGCGGCCAACUGGACCACAACUGACGCUGAGGCGCGAAAGCGUGGGGAGCAAACAGG